CAACGCGUUUGCAGUGCUUCUGAUAUUGCAAGCUUCUAUAAGUUGCGGUAAUCGCUUACCAUCAGGUGAGCCGUACGCUUGUUUGCCGACCUAGUGACA